GUUAUGCAGAGCACACCAGAUGAGGGGAUCUGGGGACCGGUUUUAGACAUGGAAAUGUACCAUAUGCAUGGGAGGGAUUAUUACUUUCCUGUUCCACCUGAACUUCUGGGCCUGCCACCAGAUCAUGGGUCCUAGAGGUUGUAUUAACAGGCCCAUCCCCUGGGUGGUGCGUGGAGGGAAGGCUUUCAAAGGCAGGAGGCCCCAGCAAGCUCUCAAAGGGUGUUGAGCUUGGCCCAUUGUGGCCUUCUGUUUGAUUCCUCUCCCCUGGGCAGUGGCCAGCCAAGGGUUCAGCCUCUUUCAUGACAGACUCCUGUUUCUAGAGCUUCACGUGCAGUCCAGGCCUCUCAAGGCCAGACCCUGAGGUUUUUUAGUACAGGAAUUAGGAGCAUGUGGAGUUUUACUGGCGCCAAGAAAUUCCCUGUGUGCUUGGAAAGCAGAGGGAGCACUUGAAAUGAUGCAGCUGCUGCCUGGAGGACCACGGGUGGGCUCCCUGCAGCAGCUCCAUGAGGGUGGAACAAAGGCUUUUUGCUCAGUGAAAGGGCCUCGGAUUCAGCCUGAUCUACUGGGCUCUAUGAAGCUAAAAGGUACAAGUCGCCUUGUCAUCGUUCAACCUAUGAGUGAACCUCCCUUCAAAAUAGCUCCUUAAUAGGAUGGCCACAUUCUCAGAGGUGUUCUUUGGCUCUUGGGAGGCUGGGUCCACGUCCAGGGAUAAUGUGUGCUCACUGUGUGGUUGAGCUGAUGGGGCAGGCAGAAUCCCUUCCUUCAGAGGCACAAACACCGGGCCUUGUGUCUGAAGGUGAAACAGGGACAGUGAGGAGAGGUCUGGAAUUCUAGAAUGAUUCCAUGUGCUUGUUCUCCAUGAUAAUGUGUGACCGGGGCUGCUGACCCAACCUGGAUGUCCUUUGGCCUGCCUAGAAC
rnacentral:lncRNA from 1 species